CUGACUCAGCUGUGUCCUCCCCCCCACUUCCUGUAUCUCUGGGAGCAUCUUCCAGACUCACCUGCACCCUGAGCAGUGGCUGCAGUGUUGACAUUUAUCUCAUAUCCCGCUGUCAGCAAAAGCCAGUGAGCCCUUCCCAGUAUCUCCUGAUCUACCUCUCAAAAGUCAAGUAAAACUAGGGCUCUGGAGUCUCCAGCUGCUUCUCUAAAUCCAAAGAUGCCUUGGCCAGUGCAGGCAAUUUGCUCAUCUCUGGGGUCCAGCCAGAGGACAAGACUAUCUGUUCUAUCUAUUACUGUCAGACCUGGGAUAUUGAUACUUCAGUUA